rnacentral:lncRNA from 1 species
GCCGAGGAUGAGAGGCCAGUGCCUGUUUCCAGGCAGCCAGGGCCUCAGAAACUCCGGCCGGAGCACUCACCCGUCGGUGGAGGCCGUUACCAGGGCCACCUUAUUUGCGAGCGGGUCCCGGCGGGUCAUCCCGGAGCUGGCCAUCCGCACCGAAUUCCAAGCCCGGGCACAGAGGCCUAGCAGCCCCGCCUUGUGCAUGGAUCAGACCAGCAAAAUUCCUUCUCCAAGAAAGUCUGGGUCUAUGUGUGUGACAGCCCACAGGAGGGCAAAUGUUUUGAGACUGCCCAUGGAGGUGAGGCCUGUGGUCGCCAUGGAGUCCACCAGGUGCCACUUCGGAUAAACCCUUUGGACUCCUAACUCCAAUCAGGUGUCUGCUUUGUUGAGGACUCACAGACACAGUCUCCUUUCUUCAAGAUCUUUACAAUGCAAGACCUCACUAACACACAGGGAUGGUCUCCCAGAGGGUCUGUGCUGUUCCUUCACUCAGAACAUCAAGAUGCACUGAAGUAAGGAUCCUCUAUUCUACAGUUCCUGCUAGCUGAGCUAUUCCAUGGGGGCUUCAGCAGGAAAUUCCAAGGUUGGCUUUGACAAGCUAAGGCCGGCUGGUGGAGCACAUCGAGUUCUGGAGGUUCAUGUGUGUUUUCAUGAAGAUCUGUCUGCCCGUAGCAGAUAAAGAGUUGUUGCCCCACUCCUCCUGGGGUCUUCUAUUUUCCUGGGAGGAAUUUCUGGAUUAACUGAACACACACACACACACACACACCCUUUUGAAGCAUCAACAGUAAUUCUGAGUUCUUAGGGACAAUGCAGAUUAAAUCCACAAUAAGAAAGACAACUAUGGCCAGGUGUGGUGGCUCACGCCUGUAAUCCCAGAACUUUGGGAGGCUGAGGCGGAUGGAUCACCUGAGGUCAGGAGUUAGAGACCAACCUGACCAACAUGGAGAAACCCCGUUUCUACUAAAAAUGCAAAAUUAGCCGGGCAUGGUGGCAGGCGCCUGUAAUCCCAAAUACUCGGGAGGCUGAGGCAGGAGAAUCACUUAAACCCGGGAGGCAGAGGUUGCAGUGAGCCAAGAUCGCGCCAUUGCACUCCAGCCUGGGCAAGAAGAGCAAAACUCCAUCUC